rnacentral:rRNA from 1 species
CGGGAACGGCUCAAAUUUGAAAUCUGGCGGUCUACGGCCGUCCGAGUUGUAGUCUAGAGAGGCGUCUUCCGCGCCGGACCGUGUACAAGUCCCUUGGAAUGGGGCGUCGUAGAGGGUGAGAACCCCGUUUGCGACACGGACCGCCGGUGCUUUGUGAUGCGCCUUCGAA